CAUCGCCGCGGUAAUACGAAGGGUGCAAGCGUUACUCGGAAUUACUGGGCGUAAAGCGUGCGUAGGCGGUGAGUUAAGUCUGCUGUGAAAUCCCCGGGCUCAACCUGGGAAUGGCAGUGGAUACUGGCUCGCUAGAGUGUGUCAGAGGAUGGUGGAAUUCCCGGUGUAGCGGUGAAAUGCGUAGAGAUCGGGAGGAACAUCAGUGGCGAAGGCGGCCAUCUGGGACAACACUGACGCUGAGGCACGAAAGCGUGGGGAGCAAACAGGAUUAGAUACCCGUGUAGUCCCUGUCUCUUAUACA
rnacentral:rRNA from 1 species